rnacentral:rRNA from 1 species
ACUCAAAUGAAUUGACGGGGGCCCGCACAAGCAGCGGAGCGUGUGGUUUAAUUCGAUGCAACGCGAAGAACCUUACCUAGACUUGACAUGACCCGGAAAGGCCUGGAAACAGGUCCCUCUUCGGACCGGGCCACAGAUGUUGCAUGGCUGUCGUCAGCUCGUGUCGUGAGAUGUUGGGUUAAGUCCCGCAACGAGCGCAACCCUCGUGUGAUGUUGCAAAUCAUCGCAGACUGCCGGUACAAGCCGGAGGAAGGUGGGGAUGACGUCAAGUCCGCAUGGCUCUUACGUCUAGGGCUACACACACGCUACAAUGGUCGGGACAGAGCGCAGCCACGGGGCGACCCGGAGCGAAUCGCAAAACCCGAUCUCAGUUCGGAUGGCAGGCUGCAACCCGCCUGCCUGAAGUCGGAGUUGCUAGUAACCGCGUGUCAGCAUAGCGCGGUGAAUAUGUUCCCGGGCCUUGUACACACCGCCCGU